CAGCCGCCGCGGUAAUACAGAGGGUGCGAGCGUUAAUCGGAUUUACUGGGCGUAAAGCGUGCGUAGGCGGCUUCUUAAGUUGGAUGUGAAAUCCCUGAGCUUAACUUAGGAAUUGCAUUCGAUACUGGGAAGCUAGAGUAUGGGAGAGGAUGGUAGAAUUCCAGGUGUAGCGGUGAAAUGCGUAGAGAUCUGGAGGAAUACCGAUGGCGAAGGCAGCCAUCUGGCCUAAUACUGACGCUGAGGUACGAAAGCAUGGGGAGCAAACAGGAUUAGAUACCCGGGUAGUCCCUGUCUCUUAUAC
rnacentral:rRNA from 1 species